UACGUAGGGACCGAGCGUUGUCCGGAAUCAUUGGGCGUAAAGAGCGUGUAGGCGGCCACUUAAGUCCUGCGUGAAAUCUUGCGGCUCAACCGCAAGCGGUCGUGGGAAACUGGGUGGCUAGAGUGCGGGAGAGGAGAGUGGAAUUCCUGGUGUAGCGGUGGAAUGCGCAGAUAUCAGGAGGAACACCAUGGCGAAGGCAGCUCGCUGGGACGGUACUGACGCUGAGACGCGAAAGCGUGGGGAGCAAACAGG
rnacentral:rRNA from 1 species